rnacentral:rRNA from 1 species
AUUGAACGCUGGCGGCAUGCUUUACACAUGCAAGUCGAACGGCAGCGCGGGGCAACCUGGCGGCGAGUGGCGAACGGGUGAGUAAUAUAUCGGAACGUACCCAAGAGUGGGGGAUAACGUAGCGAAAGUUACGCUAAUACCGCAUACGAUCUAAGGAUGAAAGCAGGGGACCGCAAGGCCUUGUGCUCCUGGAGCGGCCGAUAUCUGAUUAGCUAGUUGGUGAGGUAAAGGCUCACCAAGGCGACGAUCAGUAGCUGGUCUGAGAGGAUGAUCAGUCACACUGGAACUGAGACACGGUCCAGACUCCUACGGGAGGCAGCAGUGGGGAAUAUUGGACAAUGGGCGAAAGCCUGAUCCAGCCAUGCCGCGUGUGUGAAGAAGGUCUUCGGAUUGUAAAGCACUUUAAGUUGGGAGGAAGGGUAGUAACCUAAUACGUUGCUACUUUGACGUUACCGACAGAAUAAGCACCGGCUAACUUCGUGCCAGCA